rnacentral:rRNA from 1 species
UACGUAGGGUGCGAGCGUUGUCCGGAAUUAUUGGGCGUAAAGGGCUCGUAGGCGGUUUGUCGCGUCGGGAGUGAAAUCCACUGGCUUAACUGGUGGCUUGCUUUCGAUACGGGCAGACUGGAGGUAUGCAGGGGGAGAACGGAAUUCCUGGUGUAGCGGUGAAAUGCGCAGAUAUCAGGAGGAACACCGGUGGCGAAGGCGGUUCUCUGGGCCUUACCUGACGCUGAGGAGCGAAAGCGUGGGGAGCGAACAGG